rnacentral:rRNA from 1 species
GAUGAAUGCUGGCGGCGUGCCUAAUACAUGCAAGUCGAGCGAACGGACGAGAAGCUUGCUUCUCUGAUGUUAGCGGCGGACGGGUGAGUAACACGUGGAUAACCUACCUAUAAGACUGGGAUAACUUCGGGAAACCGGAGCUAAUACCGGAUAAUAUUUUGAACCGCAUGGUUCAAAAGUGAAAGACGGUCUUGCUGUCACUUAUAGAUGGAUCCGCGCUGCAUUAGCUAGUUGGUAAGGUAACGGCUUACCAAGGCAACGAUGCAUAGCCGACCUGAGAGGGUGAUCGGCCACACUGGAACUGAGACACGGUCCAGACUCCUACGGGAGGCAGCAGUAGGGAAUCUUCCGCAAUGGGCGAAAGCCUGACGGAGCAACGCCGCGUGAGUGAUGAAGGUCUUCGGAUCGCAAAACUCUGUUAUUAGGGAAGAACAUAUGUGUAAGUAACUGUGCACAUCUUGACGGUACCUAAUCAGAAAGCCACGGCUAACUACGUG